rnacentral:rRNA from 1 species
UACAGAGGUCCCGAGCGUUGUUCGGAUUCAUUGGGCGUAAAGGGUGCGUAGGCGGUCUUCUAAGUUUGAUGUGAAAUCCCGGGGCUCAACCCUGGAAUUGCAUUGAAUACUGGAGGACUAGAGUACCGGAGAGGAAACUGGAAUUUACGGUGUAGCAGUGAAAUGCGUAGAGAUCGUAAGGAAGACCAGUGGCGAAGGCAGCCUCCUGGGCCAGUACUGACGCUCAUGCACGAAAGCGUGGGAGCAAACAGG